ACGUCACGACGCCCCGGUCAGGGCCUGGGCGCGGCUCGCGAGCCGGGUCGUCUCUAUAGCGAUGAGGAGCUGCCAGCUGUCCUGCGGAGGCACUCGGUCCACCUGAAGCCUGAGACGGGAGCGGGGAGGAGCCCGAGGCCGCGGGGCCAGAAGGUGCGCUUCUGGAGCCAGGGAGGGCCGGAGGGGCAGAUGGUGAGGGAAGCCGUUCCCGCGGGUCCCGCUGCCGGCCCCGGGGCUCCGAGCCCCCCGGCUUCCUCCUGCGCCUUAGGGUCCUGGCGCUUUGCUGCGCGCCCUCCGCAGGCACCGCCUACGACCUUCGAGCCACCCUCCGAAGAAAGCCACCGCAGGUGUUACUAGCUCCUGGUUGAAAAGGACGACGUCGAGGAGCCGUCAGAUUUGGACUGCCCUUCCCUGGCCCAGCUCUGCAGCUACCCACAGUUCUUUCUCAUGACGAGGACAUCCCCACACUCGUCCUCAGACGGCAGGAAGAUCUCGGUCUCUCCAGGCCAGACCUGAAGUUUCUGGCAGUGUUUGAAAGCAGAGAAGAUCCUACUUCUGGAGGACGAGAAGUCUUUCGAAGAUGCUGCUGUGGCAGUGCAGUCGGGCAGAAUUCUGAGGUAAACACAGGACUCAAAGACAGGCACGACAUUCUCCUCCAAACCUGCCCUCCCACCUUCAAGAUGUGGUCCCGACCAGAACAUUCUUAAACUUUCAUCCUUCCAACUCGAAGAAGCGGAAAAGGAAAGAUAAACGGUAUUUUUAAAAAUAGGGGAAAGUGUGCCAGAGGAGCAGUGUCCCUGAACCAUGCACAGCAUGGCCGACACCUCCUGAUGCUUUCACCAACUCUGCAUCUUCUCUCCUUCCAUCUGAGGGGAAAGAGGAAGGACCUCCUGAAAGGUGGUGAGAGCCAUCUUGGAGUAUGAGGCUUUGCUCAGCCUCAGACUGUCCUGCCCCAGGCAGGUACUUACAAUUCAGAGCUAGUUUUCUGUAGGGAGAAGACCUUUGGGGUCCAGACUAACCUCACAGAGCCCUCAGGGUACCCAGGAGGAAGGGACAAUGACCAGCAUCCCCCUGAAAAUAACUCAGUUCUUAGGCCCAUCGAUGCUGGCAGCCCACAUUAGCUGGGGUGACAGGUGGGCUUUGUCAGAGGAUUCCUUAACCCCCAGGAGAAACCCUGAGACUUUCCUUCCCUGGAGACUGACUGGAAAAGGAGGAGGCUGCAAACAGACUCAGGCAUUUGAGGUGCUUGUCCUGCCUCUGUCCUGGGAUGAAGAUUACCUUUGGGCAAAUCACAGCUCAGUGGGCCUCAGUGACCUCAUCUAGAAAACAAGAGGGUGGAUUAGCUCAGUGGUAGGAAGAAGAGUGCCCUUGGGAAGGCUGGGGGAGGAGGCCUGGAGAACCCCUGCUUGGCAUGAGAAUUGACGGUUGGAAUGGGAGCACAUAGGUCCUGGGAAUGGUGUGUAGGCCACGAAAGGUUGGAUUUGAUGAUCUCUGAGGUCCCUUCCAGCCCUGUCACUCUAGGACUCCCUCCUUCCUUCAUUCCAUUGGCAAACCCCUCCCCUUGAAGCAGCUUUGCCUGCUGCCACCAAUUACGUGUAGGGCUGGAGAACAAGUGCAAACUUGCCAUCUUCUUUGCCCCAAACAGGAGUGUGGUUUAAAAAAAAAAAAGAAGAAGAAGAAAGAAAAGGAAUUGGAGGAUGCCAGAUGGUGCCUGAUCUACAUGGGGGCACAGAGAGCUGAUUAGCCCCCCCAAGGCAGGGAAGGGCGAUGGCAUGGCGCCUUGCUCUGCCUCUGCCUUGCUUUGGACACUGGUGGGCGCUCCAGUGGGCCCCUAGGGAGGCGGGGCUCCAGCCUGCCUUUACACCACAGAUGAGGUGGGCAUAGAGGAUUCUGUAUGGCAGAUUAGUAGGUCAUCUCAGAUCUCCUCUCCAGCUCAGCAUGAUUUCCUGGGCCUGGGAGUAUGGAUAUUACCCUGGCCUGCGGGGAGGGAGAGGAGGUGGCCCCACUUUAGCCUCCAUAUCUCUUGCGUCUUGGUGUCUUUUAUUCAAGUUUCCUUCAGAGCAGAAACAGGUCUUAUAUCCGUAGGGUACUGUGAAUUGGGGUGCUCUGCCCUGUCUACUUCUGCAGGGACUCACAACUGGAUAGCUACUUAGGAAGAUAACAAGGCAGGAAUAGAGAGAUGUCUUUUGCAAGUGCUACUACCAAAGCAGCAGUGCAGGCUGGACCCUCCCUGGCAGGGGCAGAAUGUCCCCGGCGUCCCCGGCUUCUCUGGGCUUCCCACACUCACUCUCAGGCUGCACUUUGCUUUGGGGCUUUACUUUUUUUUCAGGAAUACCUCUGUCAUGCGUUUCACUCUAAUUUCUCCUGCAAAUGUCUAGGGAGAGGAUGGGGCUGGCGGGCCCAGAGCCAAUACCUCUCGAUUCUGAUCCUGCUUCCAAGGACACCUCUGCCAGGGCUCUGCCACAUUCAGGGACUCCUCCUCCCCUGCCAAGUCUCCUCCCAUGAGCUUUUGGUUUUCUUUCUGCCCCUCAGCUUCCCCAUCUGUAAAUGAGUCCAGGGCCUCUAUCUUGACAGGCAACAUAGUCUAACAGAGAACAAGUGCACAUGGAAACUAGGCUACCCCAAGGUCAAUGUCCCGCCAAAUAUCUAUUUUGACUGAGUUAUUUCAUUUCUCUGAGCCUCAGCUUCCUCAUCUAGAAAGUGGGUAUGUCCACACAACCUCCCAAGUGAGGCAUCAUCUCUCUUUAACUACACUGGCUCUAGAGGAAAUAAACCUGCAGUUCAGAUCUCAGCUGUGACUCAGGUAGGUUACUCAAUCUCGGUGAGCUUCAGUUUUUUCUUCUGACAAAAGGAGUAAAAACACCCAUCUCAUAGGGUUAUGGUGUUAAUUAAAUGAGAUCAUGAAUGGAAAACCCCUGGCAUAUAGGCGUUCCAUAGGUGGUGGCUCUUUGUUGGUAUUUCCACUACUUCUCAAAAGGAACAAAGGCCUCAAGUGUCUUUAGGAAAGGUGUCUUAGUGCCUGGGGACAACCAGUCUUGUCCCAGGCCAGACUUUGACACAGCGAAGUGUGAUGCAGCCAGCUGGGGGUGAGCCUCACCACCCUCCCAUAGGUGAGAAAGUUCCCAAAAUGCCAAGCAUUCCAGCACACUGCCCUCAUCAGCACACUGCCCUCAUCAGCAGCACAUUGGAAUUGGAAAGUUGGAAGGACACUUACCUGCCAGGUAGAGUAGCUCCAGAAUCCCCCUUUCCCUACCGCUUUGUACCUCUUUCCUGCCUCAAAAAGGCACAGACACUCUAGGGCACAAAUCAGAGCUCACUGCUACCACUCACUCAGUGCUUUUCUAUGUGCCAGGCCUAUCCGGCAAGAAUUGUUAUCUUCAUUUUGUUGAUGGAAAAGUGAGGCUAAAGUCACUUUUCCCAGAUGACUGAAUAAGAAGGGACAGAGCGGAGUUCCCCUUGUGGCUCAGCGGUAAUGAGCCCGCCUAGUAUCCAUGAGGAUGGGGAUCCCUGGCCUCGCUCAGUGGGAUGAGGAUCUGACAUUGCCAUGAGCUGUGGUGUAGGUUGCAGAUGAAGCUCGGAUCUGGUGUUGCUGUGGCUAUGGCAUAGGCCAGCAGCUGCAGCUCUGUUUCAGUUCCAUAUGCUGCAGCUGAGGCCCAGAAAGAAAGAAAGAGAGAGAGAGAGGAAGAAAGGAAGGAAGGAAGGAGAAAGAAAAGCAGAAAGUAAAAAAAAGAAAGAAAAAAAAAGAAGGAACAGAGCCAGGGCUUGGGGCCUAGGCUUGGCUCUGAAAUACGUACCCUUCUCUGUUCUCUCUUCAGUCUCUGAAAACAGAGAGACCUAACACAUUCUUGUUACUGUGACAGUUUAAUCACUUGGGGCAGACCAGGCCCAGUGGUGUGAGGGUCAUAGACCAGCCCCUUCACAUUCAAGACGUUGGAGGGCAGUGCGCUUGCUCUGGAGGGUCACAGAGGAGUAGAAUUUCAGGGGACUUAACCAUCACCUUUGUCUGAUGACGAGAGGUCACAGGGCUGCCCUGAGUCACACAUGGUAUUUCAGAGGCAAAGCUAGAAGCAGAACUGGGGCUCCCCUGACUUCUGACUCCCAGAUCAGUGCGCCCUGGCCUGUACCCUCUGAGCUGCCAGUCCCCCCACUUCCAGUUUUCGCUUUUCCUUUUCCUGAUGAUGUGAUCCAUCAAGGAAUCCUGUCAAGUGGUGUAUGGUACGUCUAUCCUCCAUUCAAUGCCCGCGGUCCUCUGCCCUCUAGAGUGUGCAAAGGAAAUAGAAAAUGUGGUGCCUGAUCAAAGAUGUGUUUCAGCACCAGGGCAGGAUACAAGACCCCUUCGCAUCACAAGGCCAAUCCCCCUAAGGCCCUGGGUCUUACCAGGAAGGCAAGAUUUGUAUGUGCAAAGUAAUAUCUGAAUGCAAUGUCAAGCAAUCAGACAGAGCACCAGGGCAAGUCAGAGGACACCAGAGUCAAUUAGCCAGGAAGGCUGGAAGACAUUAGGGGGAAUUUGAGGAGACUCUUGGUGACGCUUAAACAGAAAGAGAUGGAUAAGAUAGAAGGAUAAACAAAAAUCAGUACUUAGCAAAUAUAUAGAGAAAAGGGAACAGUCACAACAAAAACAAUUAAAAAAAAAUAGAAGAAGGGGGGGGUUGUAUUAGGUCAGUGGACAGGUUGACCCUGGUCAGUCCUUGUUUCUCACCUGCCCAGGAUGGCAGGCGCCAUUUGGCCAUGGAAACAGAAGAUUGGAAGAAACGUUCUCUCAAAGUCUGUUCCAGCCUUGGGAUUCUAGGAGUAACUUGUUCCAAGGCAUUUGGUCUUGUCUUUAUGGUCCACUAGCAGGCCUGCCAGGACCUGGUGGGGGAGGGGGUGGCCUGGUCCGAGCCGCCCGCCCCUGUUCCAGCCCCUCCACUUGCUCAGCCUCCUUGGCCCCUCAUCCCAGUGUCCUCCAAGCCCUUCCUCCCUGCCCACCCCCACACCUGAGUCAAUUUGCCACCUGCUUCCUCUCCACCUGCUCCCUGGCUGCUUCCAUGAAGGAAACAAAGGUCUCCACCCUGCCAGUUGGCAUCAACAUUGAUGUGUGGUUCCAGACUUCUCCACAUCACACGGCCAGUCUCCAGACUUUCCUGAGCCUUUGUCCUGUCUCCUUCUGCACAGCUGCCUUUCCCAGCUCUGGAUUCCCCUCUGCCAUCCUCAGCCCCCUUGCUUCUCCAUUCAGCUCUCGACUUCUGUUUCACUGAAAAGCCAACAGUGAUCUGGCAUGAACUUCCUGUCUCCUGUGCCCGCUCCCUCCACUCCUGGGAGAGGUCCCUCCUUUGGACCAAGGCCAAUCCCACAUCCAUGUGCCCUACAGGGAACUGGUGCUGUCAGUUAUCCUCUCCUUCUCCUCCUGUAGACACAGUAGAAGCCUCAGCAUCCCACAGCAGUAGCAGACUCCCCUGGACCCUGCUGCCUCCUGUCCUUUCAGUCUCCUGGACUUCUUGGCGGAUUACUUCCGCUCUCUGUCUCCACUGCUUCUGUCACCACUCACCCUUGUGCUGUCUGGCCCAGCCCCCUCUAACACCCCUCUUCCGGGUCUCUACUGACUUCCACAUCUGGGGCUGCUGGCCAACUCUAUCUGGCCUGACCUCUCUGCAUCAUCAGAAGCUCUAAACGUUUUCCUUUCCCAUCUUGGAGUCCUGCCUUUUCCCCAAAACCCUGCCAGCCACUCUCCCUUCCACUGGCCUCUUAAAUGCUUAGAGCUUGGCUCUUUUCACUUUUCACAUUAUGUGGCCUCCCCUGGGACUCUAACCCGGGACAGCAAGGGUGGAGGAAAGAAUAUCGGCUCUGUGGUCACAUGAUUCUAACUUGAAACACCAGCUCCAACAAUGGGUGAGUUUGAGCACAUUUCUUCACCUCUCUGAGCUUCAACUUCCUCAUCUAGGAUAAAAUUCUGACCUUGCAGGUUGUUGGAGAGCUACUGAUAAGUCAUGUGGAAGGUCCAGUACAAAGGAGGGGGCAGUUCAUCCCACCUUGUGGGGCAUUAUGGUUCCAGUUGCCACCAGUGUGCCGAUGACUCCCGAAUCUCUCUUUCUAGCCCCAUUUUCCUUUGAAGUCUAAUUCUAUGGGUCCGAUUUUUCACAUCUAUGUCUCUGGCUCCCUCCUCUCUCUUCUAACUUGUCCUAAAUUUUUACGUACUUGUAGAUAUUUCCACUGGUAUUUUUCAAGAUCUUAAGCUGAAUCGAACCCCAGCUAAACUCACUGUUCCUCUCAACCCUCUCCCCUUUCCUGUCCUUCUGGUCUCUAUCCUAGGGUUAACGGCCCCAUAACCCACUCAGCAGCCCCAGCUGGAUGUCUCAGAGUCUGAAAAGACUCUCUCCUCCUCCGCCAUCCAACAUGUCACUAGAUCCUGAGGGUGAAACUUGUGAAACCUCCCUCAGUUCCAAGCUUCCCCUUGACCCCCGUUGCUGCGGCCUUGGUUCAGGCGUUCAGUGUGUCUCCCAUGGACAGAGUUAAGUUUCAACCCCUCCCAUGACAUAUGUUGUCUUCUCUACCAGUCCCAAACCCUCCUCUCCAGUGACAUUUCAUAUUUCUCUUCUGAUCUCACCCAGGCCACCAGGCCUGGCACAUGCCAUGUUCCUGCCAGCUGGCAAGCCACUACCACCUUCAAGAUCCAGCUUAAAUGUACCUUGUCUAUGAAGUCUUCCUACUGCACCAGCAGGCUUGGAGCUCAGUGGUCCUUGAAACCUACCCCUGCGAUGGCCUGGCCAUCUGUACUGUACUGGUCUCUUUCGCUUGUCAGACAUUUGAGGGUAAGACCCCAAUUUGGUCACCACUGCAUCCCCGGUCCUAAGCAUAUGCAUGAUGCAUAGUUGUGCUCAAUCAGUGUUUGCUGAAUGAAUGAAAGAGUGAAGGAAUGGUGAGUUCAUGGGAAUCCCAAGGAGAGGCAGAGCAUCCCUGACCUUCCUCCCUGCCUCCCAUCAGCCUGAGAAUGCUUGGGGUUGCCUGAAAGACUGGUGGCAGCAGAGGGGUUAGAUGACUGGAGGGGCAAUGUGGAAACCAGCGGCAGUGUGGAGAUGCCAAGCUGAAGACAGACCCCACAGAUGCAGGGGACCUAGGACAGGAUUCUUUUGGCCAGGGACUCAGAUUCUGGAAGACAAAGAAUCAGAACUGGAACCUUCCAAGCCAGAGCCCAAGAUCUCCCCCAGGGUUUGGAGAGCGGGAUGAUGGCAAUCUGGAUAAAGCAGCAGUAAGCAAGAGAUGGGAGAGAAGCAGUCAUCCGAGGCCGGGGACCAAGGUGGCUGAGGUGGAGCACUGUCUAGGCAUCAUGCUGAACUGACUUGGCGAAGCUAUGGGGCAUCACAGGCCUGCCUGGUGUCUCGUUCUGCAGGAGCUGCAGUGCACUGGAGGAGAACAAGCCCUGACCCCGACUCAGGCCCAAGGGACAGCCAGGAACUCAAUCUGGUCCUCUCUUGCCCUCACUGGCCCCUCUACACCCCAGUCCAGUCCUGCUGGGAUUGAUUGAGGACUUAGGUUGCCCCUGCUUGGGGGACUCAAGCUGUAAUGCUACCCUUUACCAGUAGGUGCCGCCAUCUAACGUACCAUUCUCCAGUUCCACAAGGAAUCCAGUGCUUCAAGCAAAUUUGCAAAUGAAAUUAUUGUAAAUGAGAUAUUCCUAUAUCGAUGAAAUUAAGAUGUGGAAUUAAUUGUAUGUAUGUUUCUGUAUAACCAUAUAUUCUAUUUUUAAUGAGUUUGACAUUCAUCAUGCACUUACUACGUGCCAGGAUCUUAAAGGGUAUGGGAAUUCAAAGAUGCCGGGGUUUCUCUCUCUCUCUCUCUCUCUCUUUUUUUUUUUGUCUUUUUGCCUUUUCUAGGGCCACUCACGUGGCAUAUGGAGGUUCCCAAGCUAGGGGUCUAAUCGGAGCUGUAGCUGCCGGACUGCACCACAGCCACAGCAACACCAGAUCCAAGCUGCAUCUGUGACCUACACCACAGCUCAGGGCAACACUGGAUCCUUAACCCACUGAGCAAGGCUAGGGAUCAAACCUGCAACCUCUUGGUUCCUAGUCGGAUUCAUUAACCACUGCGCCAUGAUGGGGACUCCGCCAGGGUUUCUCUUUUUAAGUUUAUAAUUAGGUAAGAGAAAAAUUUGCAUCUAAAUAAUUAUAAUAUAAGGCAGAAUAUGGUAAAUGCCAAAAUUUAAUGGGGGCGCUGGAGUAAAAUUCUCACAAAGAUGUAAAAAAGACAUUAAUUCCAGCUGGAAGCUUGGAGACUCAGAGGAGGAAAGGGUUUAAAGACGACCUCAAAGAAUAUAUAGAAUUCACAAACAUGGAGUUGGGUGAAGAAGGUGAGGGCUUUCCAGGCAGUGGAAAUGAGGUGAGCAAGGGCUUGGAGCGGGGAGUGUCCACUGGGAAUGAAUAAUGUAGGUCCGCCAGAGACAAGGAUUGAAGGGGGCGGGGAGGGAGAUCUGUAAGGUGGGAUGGGCCAGACGAUGAAGAGCCUAUUCCCACCUUAUGCCAAGGGGUUGACCUUGUUGCAGAGGCACUGGGAACCUACAGGACUUUGAAGCAAGGCAGCGGCAAAGCUGGCUCAUGUCAUGAAUUGGCUUUCCAUACUCUGGACUUGAUGGACUUUGCCAGAUUUCUUCAAUGUUUAUCGAAUUGAUUUCAUUGUGGAUGCAGGAAGAGAACCAAGAGAUGAAAGGGAGAAGAGACAUAAAAAGAAGUGAAAGGGAGGAAGUUCCCGUUGUGGCUCAGUGGUAACAAGGCCAACUAGUAUCCAUGAAGAUGUGGGUUUGAUCCCUGACCUCACUCAGUGGGUUAAGGAUCCGGCAUUGCCAUGAGCUGUGGCGUAGGUUGCAGACGCAGCUCAGAUCAUGCCUUGCUGUGGCUGUGGUGUAGGCCAGCAGCUGUAGCUCUGAUUUGACCCCUAGCUUGGGAACUUCCAUAUGCCGCACCUGUGGCCCUAAAAAAAAGAAAAAGAAAAAAAGGUGAAAGGGAGGGAAAUAAUGAACAGAAGGAAGAGAAAGAUGGAGGAGAGGGAGCGAGAGGAGGCAGCAGAGGAGGAGGCAAGGCAGACCUGGUACUUGGGGGAGGCUCUGCUCUGAGGCUGUGCUCAGGGAGUUGUUGGGGCUUUUCUAGGCCAGUGGCCUCUGGCUCCAGGCCCUGGCCGACCACAGAGGACAAUGUGAGGCAGGCUUGUUUGGUGAUGUGUUUUCUGCUGGCCCUGUUUGUUUGUUUUCUGUUUUUCUGGCAGUGGACACGUCUGGGGUAGAGAAAAAGGAGGAGGUCAGGGGUGUGGCUGACAUUGACAGUGGUCCCCAGGUCAGGGAGAGGCGGGUGGGAUCCUUUAGUGGGGGCUUGUGGGCAUUGGAGGUGGACUUUUGGUGUCCCUGCAAGGGGCCUCUAGGUGGGCGCCCAGAGCCAGGUGACCUGCUCAAGCCGAGAUGGUUGGCCCCGAGCUCUUUGCCUGUCUUUCCCUGCCCCGAUGGGGCAGGAAAGAAUUAGUCCUUGAGGCCUGGGCUCCUUGCCUGUGUAGCCAGGAUGUCGUGCUGGGCUGGGGAGCCUGUGUGGGUAGCAAGAACUUGGCACAGGGGUGGGGCCGAGAUGGGGGGGGGUCCACUUGAGCUAGCCUGCUCCCAAGCCCUGACGAUGAGCCUGGCUUGCUCCCUCCUGUCCCACAGUGCUCGGAAGCCAACCUAAUGAGCACUAUUAAAGUUAAUGAAACGCAGCAAUUCCUCCCUUUGCUCAGUUACAACUCUUUAUGAGAUUGCUCCCUUUUGCGGAGGAGAGUCAUUUGAGCUGCCAGGGCUUGGCCUUUGUCCCGCUAAUUUUUAUUGGCCCAUUAACGGGAUCAGAGGCCGUGGGCUGACCAGGAAUAUCUGGUAUGGGGUCCCAACAAGCCCCAUUGGGUCCAGUCUCAGGUGGCCUUUUGAUUCCAAAUUAGCCUAAAAGCCCCUGUUUCCCUUCCACUGUCUGUUUCUUCCCCUACCUCCAAACCCAGUUUUCUCUGCAGGUACAGCCAGGAGAUGGGACGAUUUCUAAAGUUAGGAGAUGCCUUUCCAUCCCCCUUAGAGUGUGUCCAAACCCACUGACAGAGUAGGUCCCUUAGUAAGAACUCCAGUUGGCUUAAGGGCUUUACUCCUCAUUAAGAUGGAAACAUACUGAACCUAGUUAGUCAUUCACAUGUUGGUGUGAAUUAGUCCAUAGGGUCAUAGACAGGCUUCCAGAGGAUCUGGGAAUCUCCUGUAUGAUACACAAGCCUUUAUCCCCAGUGUUCAUUUUUUUGGAGAGAGGUUUUCUAUGGCUUUCUUCAAAGUUUUCAUGACACUCUUGCCCCCCCUCACACAAGGUAAAAAAAAAACCUCUGUAGAGAUGGAAGGAGGAUGGUUUGUAACCUGGGCGCAGAAGACAAACUCUUCUACCCAUACCAUCCGCCUGGCCAGCCCCACUCCUGAGGACGAACUAGUCCCCUCCUCCUUUGGAGAGAUUUUCACAGCCUACCCAUUGUCACCAGGGCUCAAGCAUGCCUUUCCUAAAUCUUAAACUAACCUCAAGUUGAGGGGUAGGGGCAAGAAGAGAGCCCUUUAACUCUGUGUUGGUUUACCUGGCAGGGCUGCAAAUGAUAGGUUCUCAUGCUGCUGUAAAUACUCAUAAACUCACUGUAAGUGCUGGGCAUCACAUGACCCGGGUGCCCAGAUCCUCUGCCGCCCCGUCCUAGCCUGGCACUCAGGAGGUCAGGGAGGAGGAGGAUGCUGAGCUGGCAGCAGCUGUCAUGACAAGGUCAUAGCUAUGGCUAUGGGGGAAGAGGGCAUGUUUGGAGCUGGUCUCUUUCAUCCCUGUGUGGCUGUGGCUGUGGCGUAGGCCAGCAGCUGCAUCUCUGAUUCAACCCCUAGCCUGGAAACUUCCAUAUGCUGCAGAUGCGGCCCUGAAAAAGCAAAAAAAAAAAAAAAAAAAAAAAAAAAGUAUAAAUCAAAUCAUGUCUCUCUCUGGUUAAAAUCCUGCAAUGCCUUCCCAUUUCUCUGAGGAUGCAAUCCAGCUGCUUGGCAUGGCCUUCAAGGCCCUGCAUGGGCUGCCUUGCCUCCUGCUCCAGCCCAUCCUGCCCUUUAGCCAAGUAAAACAUUAUUUCAUUUACUCAAGACUUUUUAUUGGAGUUCCCUUGUGGCACAGCAGAUUAAGGAUCUGGCAUUGUCACUGCUAUAGCCCAGGUCACUGCUGUGGUGUGAGUUCAGUCCCUGGCCCAGGAACUUUUAUGUGCCACAGGCACAGCCAAAUAAAGAAACAUAUAUACAUAUAUAUACGUGUGUAUUUAUACAUAUAUAUAGUGGAGUGAAAGAAAAGCCAAAAUUUCUCCUUUUAUUCUUAAUUUAUAAAUUAAUCUGCAAAAGGAAGCCCCAAUAAAAAUUGCAUAACCCAGUCUUAAGAAUCAGGCAAUAUUUACCCAUAUACUUCCAUUUUAUAUACUUUUUGUUUCUAUUAAAAUACUAUCCUUACAUAAAAAUUAGACUUGACUUUUGUUUUUUUCUUUGACCCAUGAAACUUUUUCAUGCGCCUAGCUAAACCAAGCUAUUUCUUGGACAGAACAGAAGAUUGAGCAGAUCAGCAAAUUGGGGAUAUGUUUCAGAAGCCUUUUCAUACACACUUACGACAGCUCAUAAAUAUCUGACUUACCCAAUACUUUUCUUUUGCUUUUCCUCUCUCCCCAUCUAGAAUGUCAACUCCACAAGAGCAGGGACAUUGUCUGGCUCGUUCACUGUUGUUUCCUCGUUAUUCCCCUGGUGGCUGCCACCCGGCUGGUCCUGAAUAAUGAUCUGUGGAAUGAAUAAAUGAGGGUGGCAGGAGUUCCGAGAGGGAGAGGGACUCUUCUGGAAAGUCAGGGGAAGGUUUCUUGGGCACAAUGAGGCUUGAAGCUUGUUGUGUGGGAAGAGUGGUGGGUAGGAGGGAAAAAUGUAUCCUGGGACAGGGCUUAGGGGAUGGAAGAAGCAAAAGCCCAAAGAAGGGCCAGUGGCCAGCGUGUAUUGCAACUGACCCCAGGGAUGUGUAGGCAGCAGAAACUUCUCAAUGGCAAAAGGACAAAUGUGGUGUGAAUAUGGUUUUUGGUUCACGUGGAUCCAGGGCUGAAGUGCUUGAGUCCCUUGAUGAGGAAGAGGGGAGAGAAGUCAUCCAAGUUGGAGCCUAGGGAGACUGGGGACAAAUCAAGGGGGAUUAUUUUUUUCCUUUUAGGGCCACACCUGUGGCACACGGAAGUUCCCAGGCUAGGGGCUGAGUGGCCUACACCACAGCCACAGCAACACCAGAUCCAAGCUGCGUCUGUGACCUAUGCUGCAGCUUCCAGGAACACCGGAUCCUUAACCCACUGAGCAAAGUCAGGGAUCAAACCUGCAUCCUCAGGGAGACUAGUUGGGCUCUUAACCCGCUGAGCCACAACAGAAACUCCACCAGGGGGGAUUUCAACUGCUAAGCCUGGACGUGGCUCAGUCUGUGAAAAGUAAUGAUUAUUCCUUUCGUGGUAGCUAAUGUUAAUGACUCUCACUGCCCUGACCCCUCUGACCCUUGGAAUCAGAUCUGGCUCAAGGGAAGUCAAGGGAUGGAGUAGACCAGUGAGUCUAGACCAGUGCAGAGAACCCUGAGGCUCAAAUGGGAGAGGCCCGGGGCCUGGUUCCUUCUUCCCUCCCUCUCUUGAUGUGUGGCCUUGCUCAAGGCAUUGGACUGCAAUGGACCUCCGUGUCCUUUUGGAAAACAGAGUUAACAAUACCUGCCGCGUUCAGAGGAAAAAUGAGGUCAUGUUUAUGCAGCGCCGUGAGCUCACUGGAGACAAUGGGUGUAUUCUUCUUAACAGCAACAAUAAUAAUCAUUACUGUAAAUCUAACCAGUAAAUAUAUCUCCUCAAAGCUGGAGUUGGGCCCCUCAGUAGGAUAGCAAUUAAAGUUAAAAAAAAAAAAAUCUCCAGAUGGGGGAAUUUUCUGGCCCCAUUUUGAUCUUUGGGGUUUGCAGAAUUGAUAUCGUUGUGGGAGGGAGAGAGGCCUAUAACAAUCAUUCAUCUCAAUUCCGUUCCAUUGUCCUUAUUGUAUCUCUCUUGUCCUUGAGUUAUCCCCAGUGGGUGUUGAAACUUCCUUUUUUUUUUUUUUUUUUUUUUUUUGGCCUCCCCACGGCAUAUGGAGUUCCCAGGCUAGGGAUCAGAUUCAAGCUGUAGUUGAGACCUAAGUCGCAGCUACAGCAACGCUGGAUCCUUAACCUGCUGUGCCAGGCUAGGGCUUGAAGCUCCAUCCCAGCACUCCCAAGACUCUGACCACCCCCUUAUCCCACAGCAGGAACUCCUAAGUGUUGUGACUUCUCACCCCUCUUCAGUCCCUUAUGCCCCCAUCUCCACAGACACCCAGUGUUUCUAGUCACUCAGAGAUGUAGUCAUUUGGCUAUUAGAGAUCCGGAGCAUUUGGGCAUUGGCCACAAACUAGCCUGCAAGGUGGGUGGCCUGUCUCAAGCCUCAUUUCCACCCAUCCCACUAAAUAGGCUGAUGAUUCCCAAACUGAGCUGUGUAUUCAAAGCCUUGAGGGUGCAGCCCAUGGAUGCUCAGGUGAUUCUCAUGCAGCCAGCCAGCACCUGUCUGAAUUUUGGAAGCACUGGCUUAAUGAUGUAUUAGUUGAAAUGGGUCUACAAGGAGCAAAGUGAUGCUUGUUCAAAAAGGCCUGGGCCAAGCUGCAAAGACCCUUUCCCCUGCCCCAAUCCGCGAAAAUGACAGAAAACUAUGGGAAAACAAAAGGGAAAAACAAAAGGGAACUCCUAGCAUAUCAGAAACACCGGAUACCAGAAAGAUUAAGAACAAAUAGCAUCAAAGCUAUAAAGAAAUAAAACUGGAGGAAAUUGGAGUUCCCAUUGUGGCUCAGUGGGUUAAGAACCCGACUAGUAUCCAUGAGGAUGCAGGUUUGAUUCCCGGCCUGACUCAUUAGGUUAAGGAUCCAGCGUUGCCACAAUCUGUAGUGUAGGUUGGAGACAAGGCUUGGUUCUGGCAUUUCUGUGGCUGUGGUGUCGGCUUGCGUCUGCAGCUCCAAAUCAAUUCCUAGCCUGGGAACCUCCAUGUGCCAUGGGCGCGGCCCUAAAAAGCAAAAACAAAACAAAACAAAACAAAACUGGAGUAAAUCAUAGCUAAUAUACAUGAAAGAGAAGACCACUGUGGAGGGAAGAAUGGUUUGGGGUUUGAGGGGCUCUAAACCUGAGACAACAGAUUCAAAAUAACCAACGGAAGUCCCGGAAGUGUUCCUUGCUGCUUCCUGACGUGUGUUCAGUAGUUGGCAGCAGAGGAUUUAUCCCAAGGUGCCAGGUCUAAGGAGGUCCAGCAAUACCCCAAGUAGCUACAGACAGUCUAAAGGGAAAUGGGGAGUCCUCACCCUGAAGAAAAGCUGCUAGCAGGCCAUUGCUCUCUCUCCCAUCCUCAACAGCCAGAGUCACGGCUAUAGUGAACACAAAACUGAUAUGUAGUUAUUCUCAAACACAAACAUAAGCAGAACAUCAAAAAAUCACAGCAGAUUAAGGACAAAUAAAACUGUGGUACAGAGCAACUCUAAGCUAAUGCUGCCCAAUAGAACUUUCUGUGAUGGUAGAAGUGUUCUGUAUUUGAGCUGUCCAAUACGUAGCCACACACUACAUGCGGCUAGAGACUAUGUGAAAUGCGGCUGCUGCAACUGAGAACUGAAAUUUUAAUUAAAUUAAAUUUAAAUUUAAAUAGCAAGCAGCUACUGUACUGGGUAGCAUAGCUCUGAAGUUAACGUAUAGAACAGUUAAUACCCAAAGAAGUAGAAAUAAUAGGAGUUCCCACUGUAGCUCAGUGAGUUAAGAACACAAUAUUGCCUCCUUGAGGAUGUGGGUUCGAGCCCUGGCCUGGCUCAGUGGGUUAAGGAUAUGGUGUUGCUGUAAGCUGUGGCAUAGGUCACAGAUGCAGCUCAGCUCCUGUGUUGCCAUGGUUAUGGCAUAGGCUCCAGCUAUGGCUCUGAUUUUACCCCUGGCCUGGGAACUUCCAUAUGCCGUGGGUGCAAUGUAAAAAGAAAAAAAAAAAAAAAGAUAAGAAAAGAAAAAGAAAUAGAGAUAAUAGAACAAAAAACCCCAACAAAACUACUUUAGUUGAAGAAUAAUUAUUAUCUUCAAGAGAUGAAAAUUAAUAAUAAAUGUAUUUUAAAAAUCAACUAGA